CAGCAGUUUAAUUCCACCGCUGAAAGAGAUGGUGUAAAGAGAUUUGAAAGCACUAAAACAGCCACUUAUUUUGUGGUGAGAUUGUUUUGUCAAGUACUGUCUCUGUGGUCAUGAAUGAGCUCUUGGUAUUAAGUCAUAAUGUAAAAACCAAGAUAAGCAUUCUUUAUGAUAAAGCAGUCUGAUCUCAGACUCUGUCGAACAUGGCGGAUGCUCAGGAUGAGGUCCAAGAUGAAGACAAAACACUGGAUCAAGCUGAGGUGGCACUUGGGGACCACGUGACAGGAGGAGUGGUUCAGAGUUGGAGGCAGGUGCAGAGGAGACUGGGCAAUGUCCCACCUAAAGGCCAAUCUGGUGUUGCUGUUGACCAUGACAAGCUCCUGGCUGAAGUGAAGGAGUGUCAAAAUCUUGUCAGAUUACAACAGGAGCUGCUGCAGGUGUGACUAUCUUGUGUGCUAAUACAAUUACACAAGCACAUCAGACAUAAAAAUACUCUGCUCGUUUUCUGCCUGCAGGACAGCUUUGUUUCACCCAUCCCCUCUGAACUGUCUGAUUCCUACUUUUUGGAAGAGUGGGAACAUCUUCAGAUGCGAGUGGCAGAGCUUGAACAUCAGAGGCGGACUUUUGAAAGGGAGCGGAAGUCUUUCACUGAUGCUGUAAUCCGACUAAGCCAUGAGGUGAAAAGAAAGAGGCAGAGGGAAUUUCUGAAGGAAUAUGAUGAUAUGUGACGAUACUGUAGUCCCCGCUGAGCUAAAAAUGUAGAUAAUGGAUAGGUAAAUGUUAGUGUGACCAAGGGAUGUAGCACUUUUUUUCCCCUCGUGACGUUGUACAAUUACUGUUGAUAAAUCAUGUGAAAAAUUAGAGCAUUUGGGCUUAAGAUGUUGCUUAUUAGUGUCAAGUUUCUAAUUUCCCCUCUUCAGCGCCGUGAUUUUGAGCAACAGAAAGGUUCCCUAAUGAAGCAGCAGUUUUUGUGUGACUCACCUCUAUUUACUAAAGGGGCACUGAGCUGCAACAGGCGAGAGAGCACUGCUCUCAAUUUCUCAGGUUUGGGGCCCACCAACAUAUCUGGCUGUCUUCCCAUUACGCCAUCAUCCACCGAUUCCAGGACUGCUGCUGUUCCUCAGUUACAUCAGGGAAGAGUUCGAGUUCAAACUCCCAGCACCCCUGAGCUGUACUCUGCUCUCAAUCUAUCAUACAACUGCAGAGCCAUUGAGGUUAAUCACCAGCAAGAGACAUGGGACGGUGGUGCAGACAGGAUAGUGCAUACACCACAUGCUCCACACUUAGACUGGUCAUUUUAAUGCAAUUUUUGUUGCUACAUUAGAUGGUCACUUAAAAUCCAAUUAUGCCUGUUUUCUCUUUUUAACAUCUUCAAUAAAGACUGAAUUUCCCUAUUGUUAUUUUGACACUACACUGUCUGACUAUAAUGAAAAUUGAUUCUGCCUGUUAUAAUACAGUAUUGACAACAGAUUUAGGUUUCUCAUGGUGGCUAAUUAUAAACCAGGACAUUUUAUCCACUAACUCCUUAUGAGAACUGUCUGUUCUGUGUGAUAUACCCAUGUGUUGUUUCCUAACAAACUGAAGAAUCAGAUGGUAAACUCAGUGCACUGUAACAACUUACCAUGUGAACACUGAUUCCUUUAAGCCCAUAGUUGUUACACUAGGCUUUUUUUGAACUCACUGAGCAUUGUGCAUUUAGAACCAUCUCAGGUUGGUGUCUGCUUCCAUGAAGAGCAACCACAGUACUGCCUUAUCCCUGUUUAUAGACAAUUUAAAAUAAAAAAUCUGUUCCAGCUUUAUUCAACUCAUCACCUACUGAGUCUAUUUAGAUUCCUUUAUAAAAUAAAGGUUUCUGAUGCAACAUCAGCCACUAGCAAGAUGCAUGAAGAAAAUCAAACUAAAGAGGGAAACACUUUCUGUGUAAUGAGUAACUUUAUUCUAAAACAAUAUGUUUUGGAUUGUGGCCUUUAUCAGUCAUUGUAAACACGUUAGGGAAUAUACUUAAAUGGAUAGUUGCACCUAUCUUAAGUGUGUUAUGGGAUCUCCUUUUCAAAUCAAAAGACAUUCCCA
rnacentral:lncRNA from 1 species